GAGACACGGCCCAAAAUCUACGGGAGGCGCCAGUGGGGAAUUUUGCCCAAUGGAGGAACCUUGAUGCAGCGAUGCUGCGUAGCGAAGAAGGCCUUUGGUUGUAAAGCUCUUUCUCGGGGAAGAAAAUGACUGUACC
rnacentral:rRNA from 1 species